rnacentral:rRNA from 1 species
UACAGAGGGUGCAAGCGUUAAUCGGAGUUACUGGGCGUAAAGGGCGCGUAGGUGGAUUUAUAAGUAAGUUGUGAAAUCCCUGGGCUUAACCUAGGAAUUGCAACUUAGACUGUAGAUCUGGAGUGCAGUAGAGGGUGGUGGAAUUUCCGGUGUAGCGGUGAAAUGCGUAGAGAUCGGAAGGAACACCCGUGGCGAAGGCGGCCACCUGGACUGAGACUGACACUGAGGCGCGAAAGCGUGGGGAGCAAACAGG